AUUGAACGCUGGCGGCAGGCCUAACAAAUGCAAGUCGAACGAGUGGCGGACGGGUGAGUAAUGUCUGGGAAACUGCCCGAUGGAGGGGGAUAACUACUGGAAACGGUAGCUAAUACCGCAUACCAUCGGAUGUGCCCAGAUGGGAUUAGCUAGGCGGUGGGGUAACGGCUCACAUAGGCGACGAUCCCUAGCUGGUCUGAGAGGAUUACCGGCCAGACUGGAACUGAGACACGGUCCAGCCUCCUACGUGAGGCAGCAGUGGGGAAUAUUGCACAAUGGGCGCAAGCCUGAGGCAGCCAUGCCGCGUGUAUGAAGAAGGCCUGCGGGUUGUAAAGUACUUUCAGCGAGGAGGCGUGACUCGCAGAAGAAGCACCGGCUAACUCCGUGCCAGCAGCCGCGGUAAUUC
rnacentral:rRNA from 1 species